UGAGUCAAAGUGUGAGAAUUUCAUAAUAGUAAAAACAUUAUGACAGACACAUCAAAUUAUAAGCUAAUCAAAAGCAACAUAGAAUUAUGUAUAAAUAAAUUGUUACGCGGACAAGCAGUAACAUUUUUUCCCAACACAAGUCGGAAAUUUAUAAUUGAGACAUACAUCCUUUGCACAAUCCAUAUUAGUUUUGCAGGGGAUUAAACCUGUAUUUUAAAAGGAGUACAUGAAUGUUACUAGAAGAUGAUGGAAUAUUUUUCAUAUGAUAAAGAAGAAAUAUUGAAAUUUGUGUGAACAUGGACUUACUAUGUUGACCUAGAAUUACGGAAAUCAUGAUGAUGAAAGCAUAAACAAUUUUUUGAAUUUCAGCCAUAUUUUGU
rnacentral:lncRNA from 1 species